GAUGUCUUCCAUUUGGAAGCCCCUUUGCUUCUAAGAAGUUCCGGAGGCCAGCCCAGGUCCACAGAGUUGUAAGGAUUCAUCUGGGUACUGAAGACAUUUGGGACCUCAGUGAAGUUUCUCCAAGACCAGAUGGUCACACUGAUUUUCUGGAAUCAUUUUGAAUAAAAACGAGCGAGGUGGUGAACACAAUGCAAGGCUCUCCGCGUACUGUCUGGUAUUGUUCAACCAGCUCCAUGGCUCCCUGAGGGCAGAGAUGAGCAGAUGUUAAUGGAGACAGCCAGGUGGGAUGAUGUUAUAACAUUUCUCCUACAGCCCCGAGUCUCCCAACUCCUGCCUGUGUGAUCUGAGUAAGACUCAGUGCACGACAUCGGUGUUCCCAUCUGUGCAAUGAAGGAAUUGAUCCCCCAGGAUCUUCCAUUUCUGACAAUGCUUUGGAUUUCAUUGGUUUUGUCACACGUACUCCCCAAAAGCCUCCAUCUUUGGAUAAGUGAUUAAAACUGCUGAGUAAUUUUCAAUCAAUAAAAGUUCAGCGCUGGCUCUCA